GGCUGGUCCAAUGGUAGUGGGUUAUCAGAAGUUAUUAACACAGUGUCAUUAAAGUUGGUAUACAACCCCCCACUGCUAAAUUUGACUGGUUUAAA
ensembl:misc_RNA Y_RNA Y RNA